CAAGCCCACGGUCGCCCUCUCAAACCCUAACAUUCUUCUUAUUUCUGCUACUUCGAGAGAGUUCUGAGCUCCUAAAGCAGCCGGCGAUGUCGCACUUCGGAAGAUCAGGCCCUCCGGACAUCAGAGACACCUACUCUCUCCUCGUCCUCAACAUCACUUUCCGUACCACCGCCGAUGACUUGUAUCCCCUCUUCGAUAGGUACGGGAAAGUUGUCGACGUCUUCAUCCCUAGAGACCGAAGGACUGGGGACUCGAGGGGUUUUGCAUUUGUCAGGUACAAAUAUCAGGAUGAGGCUCAGAAGGCAGUCGAAAAGCUUGAUGGAAAACUUGUUGAUGGAAGAGAGAUAAUGGUUCAGUUUGCAAAGUAUGGGCCCAAUGCUGAAAGGAUUCACAAGGGAAGAAUUGAGGAGCCUGUGUACAAGACAAGAGGACGGUCAAGGAGCUACAGUCCUAAACCAAGGCAUAGAGAUCAAUACAGUGACAGGGAAUAUAGAAGGAGAAGCAGGAGCAGAAGUAAAGGAAGGUAUGAGCGUGAUCGCUACCGUGGAAAGGAACGAGACUAUCCUCCCCGAAGCAGAAGCCGCAGUGCGAGUCCGGAUAACCGCAAAGAUCGUGGGAGAGGUAGAUAUGAUGAUGAGAGGCGCAGUCGAAGUCGUUCUUAUGGAAGUGCCUCUCCUGCUCGGCGCAGCCCAAGUCCAAGGAGGAGCCCAUCUCCUCGAAGGACUUCCCCUAGGGAUGGAAGCCCAAAAGCUGGGAAUCACAAUGAACGUUCUCUAACUCCGAAAAGUUUGUCACCCCGUGGGCGGCGGGCUGAUUCUCGUAGUCCAUCCCCUCGUUAUGAUGCUGAUGAAUGAAUUGAAUGAGCAAUUAUGGGUCCCCAACGCGGCGGGUCUGUUUCAGUUUCCUUGUCCCUGAAGCAGGCAUUUCCAUAUCAACACCGCACCAUCUGUUUAGUGCUUUCUAGAAAUGAUUGGCCCAAACUUAUUUUGAAGUAGUUUGUACGAGAAAAGUCAAUGUGGCUGAAUGGCAAGAUGAAGCAGCAGCUGGUUGAUGCUGUUUCUGCUUAGCUGUUGGUUAGCAUGUUAUUGUUGCUGGCAAACUACCAUUAAACAAAUUUUCUGACUUGUCAUGAUUGGUAAGGUUAGAAAUCUUGCAAAUUACUGAAGUCAAAUUGGGAUUAGAGCAUUUUUAACCUUUUCCUGACUUUAGAUUUUGGCCAUGGUAAGGAGUUUAAGCUGUGAUCAUAUAAAAGAUGGAAGAAGUUACUGCUAAGUGUAGCUGUUGCAGUUGAUUCAAGAACUCAAUAUGCAGCUAUGCUGGUUCUAAAUAGGAUUGCUGCUGUGUGCAGUAUAUAUCCCAAAAUCAACUGGUUUUGAGAUGGUGAUUUUAUGAUCUUACUCUAGUGCUGGCUCAUUGUUAGGUAUCUUCAUUUUAUAGGUAUUAGGAUGAUGGUUUAUUGUGUAGGUGUUGUUUUUAAUCUAAAUAUAGCGGGACCUAUAAUUAAGCUAAUGAUAGUUGCACUAUCUUACAGCAUGAGUUCGCGGCUGUAGCUGUGAUGUGAUAGCCGAUGUUUCUGUAGAUUGGUUGUUGCUGACUUGCUGUGUGUACCUUGGUGCUAGCUUUCCAAUCUGAUGCUCCUGUUUUUUGCUGUUGAUGAAAUGCUUUGGUACAUAUGUUGCUGCUGGAUCCUGUGGAUUCUUCAUCCAUUUGCUGAACUUACCACUUGCAGGAUUGCAGGCAUUUCUUUGUUUGGAAUUUUGAUUAAUCUUGUGCUGAGUUUCCUUUUCUUUCCAAAACACUCAAAAUAACUUGCUACACUAUAGACCCAUCAUCUUCACAGCAACUGAGCACUUCUGUUAGGUUGCAGUUCUUUCUAGUUUCUACUGAUUUAUUGUUUUUAAUAUAUUAUUUAAAAUACAGCAUAUAGUAUAUUAAAAAUGAA